ACUGAUGUUUCCUGCUUGGGGUGGGGGAGGGGCGUCUUCUCUUCCCGCGUCCCGAGCCCCGCGUCCCGAGUUCCCCGUGGUUCUUUCGCACCCCUCGCUCGGCGGCUUUACGCCACAGGGUGGAUUGCGACCUCACCCUGCUCCCCAUGGCUGGACGCUAGCUUCGCCCAGGCCCCCUCCAGAAGCAUGAGUCGGACCUUGUUUCAACAGCAGAGUAUGUCUGAGUCAGACAUUUUGAGGCACAGAUUCAGCCAGAGUGCAGAUCUUAUGAUCGAUGCGAUGACUUCACUGGG
rnacentral:lncRNA from 1 species